UACAGAGGUCUCAAGCGUUGUUCGGAUUCAUUGGGAGUAAAGGGUGUGUAGGUGGCGCGCUAAGUCGGGUGUGAAAUUUUGGAGCUUAACUCCGAAACUGCAUUCGAUACUGGCGUGCUUGAGGACUGGAGAGGAGACUGGAAUUCAUGGUGUAGCAGUGAAAUGCGUAGAGAUCAUGAGGAAGACCAGUGGCGAAGGCGGGUCUCUGGACAGUUCCUGACACUGAGACACGAAGGCCAGGGGAGCAAACGGG
rnacentral:rRNA from 1 species